rnacentral:rRNA from 1 species
AGAUUGAACGCUGGCGGCAGGCCUAACACAUGCAAGUCGAGCGGGGGUAGCAAUACCCUAGCGGCGAACGGGUGAGGAAUGCUUGGGAAUCUGCCUCGUAGUGGGGGAUAACGUUCCGAAAGGAACGCUAAUACCGCAUACGUCCUACGGGAGAAAGGGGGGGAUCUUCGGACCUCUCGCUAUGAGAUGAGCCCAAGCGGGAUUAGCUAGUUGGUGAGGUAAGCUCACCAGGCUACGAUCCCUAGUUGGUCUGAGAGGAUGAUCAGCCACACGUAGGAACUGAGACGACGGUCCAGUACCUACCGUACGGGAGGCAGUCGAGGUAGGGAA